CUCUUUCAUAUUAUUUCCCUCUCCGUUUCGUCUUUUUCUUACUCUCUCGCACGUUUCGUCCUGUUUCUGUUCUUCGUUAGUCGAAUCUCCCUUUUCCACUACGAAUGAUCGUUUACCGUGUCCCCAUCGUCGUACCUGUGCGUACCCAUGCAGCAUAAGUCCUCACCUCUACUUACGUAUAUGCUGCGUGUAUCCAUUGUUUGCGACCCAACGCGCGGAAAAUUCACGCUUUGAAAGAGAGAGGGGCAGAGGUAGAGCUACCGAAAGUGGAGUACGAGGUACGCGUACGGCCGCGUCUUCCACCAUAGCAUGUCAGAUAUAUGCAACGAGGCAACGAGAUACAUCUCGUAUUCUUGCAACGAGUCGCAUGCUAAGUAUAUAUAUAGUUAGGCUGUGUCUAUAGAUAUAAUGUAGGUUUAAUUUAUUUCCACUUGCUCCAUAAUCAUCCGUGUAUUGUCGUCCUCCCUGGGUUUGAUAUGACUGACGAAUGAAAACGACACGACGGGUGUACGUCAGGCGAUCGAACGACGUAAUGUAUUGUACUCGAUCGAAUUCUUAUGAUCAUUCGAUGUAAGUACAUGUGAUUAAGAAAUAUUCUCCUUAAUAAACUGUUGCGUAUGGAA
rnacentral:lncRNA from 1 species